AGUGAACGCUGGCGGCGUGCCUAAUACAUGCAAGUCGAACGGAGUGGCGCACGGGUGAGUAAUGUAUAGCUAAUCUACCCUACACUAGAGGACAACAGUUGGAAACGGCUGCUAAUACUCUAUAGUGUAGGAUGAGGCUAUAUUGUAUCAGCUAGUUGGUGAGGUAAUGGCUCACCAAGGCUAUGACGCAUACCUGGUCUGAGAGGAUGAUCCGUCACACGGGACUGGAGACACGGUCCAGACUCCUACGGGCGGCAGCAGUAGGGAAGAUCGCUCAAUGGGGGACACCCCGAAGCAGCAACGCGGCGUGGAGGAUGACACUUUUCGGAGCGUAAACUCCCUUUGUUAGGGAAGCGGUACCUAACGAAUAAGCACCGGCUAACUCCGUGCCAGCAGCCGCGGUAAUAC
rnacentral:rRNA from 1 species